rnacentral:rRNA from 1 species
GGCACAGAACGAACGCUGGCGGCAUGCCUAAUACAUGCAAGUCGAACGGAGAUAGCAAUAUCUUAGUGGCGAACGGGUGCGUAACACGUGAGCAACCUGCCUUAUACAUCGGAAUAACAGCUGGAAACGGCUGCUAAUACGGGAUAAGACCACACCAAGGCAUCUUGGAGAGGUCAAAGCGAAUUAGCGGUAUAAGAUGGGCUCGCGUCCAAUUAGCUAGUUGGUGGGGUAACGGCCACCAAGGCAACGAUUGGUAGCCGACUUGAGAGAGUGAUCGGCCACACUGGAACUGAGACACGGUCCAGACUCCUACGGGAGGCAGCAGUAGGGAAUAUUGGGCAAUGGAGGAAACUCUUUAACCCCCAGCAAUGCCGCGUGAAUGAUGAAGGUCUUAUGGAUUGUAAAGUUCUUUAAUUGGGGACGAAAGAAAUGACGGUACCCAAAGAAUAAGCCCCGGCUAACUAUGUGCCAGCAGCAGC